AUGCAAGUCGACGCACACUUUCGGGUGUGAGUGGCGGACGGGUGAGUAACGCGUGGGAACCUGCCCUGAGGUCUGGGACAACCGUGGGAAACCGCGGCUAAUACCGGAUGUCUCCUACGGGAGAAAGGCUUGCCGCCUUGGGAGGGGCCCGCGUUGGAUUAGCUUGUUGGUGGGGUAAAGGCCUACCAAGGCUGCGAUCCAUAGCUGGUCUGAGAGGAUGAUCAGCCACACUGGGACUGAGACACGGCCCAGACUCCUACGGGAGGCAGCAGUCGGGAAUAUUGGACAAUGGGCGCAAGCCUGAUCCAGCCAUGCCGCGUGUGUGAAGAAGGCCUUAGGGUUGUAAAGCACUUUCAGGAGUGAAGAAAAGCGGAGUGUGAAUAAUGCUCUGUCUUGACGUUAGCUCCAGAAGAAGCACCGGCUAACUCCGUGCCAGCAGCCGCGGUAAUACG
rnacentral:rRNA from 1 species